rnacentral:rRNA from 1 species
GGGAAUCUGCCUUUUGGUUGGAAUAACACGAGGAAACUUGUGCUAAUACCGGAUAAGCCUUUACAGGGAAAGUUUUAUACGCCAAAAGAUGAGCCCGCACUUGAUUAGCUAGUUGGUGAGGUAAUAGCUCACCAAGGCAACGAUCAAUAGCUGUUCUUAGAGGAAGACCAGCCACAUUGGGACUGAGACACGGCCCAAACUCCUACGGGAGGCAGCAGUGGGGAAUCUUGCACAAUGGGGGAAACCCUGAUGCAGCGAUGCCGCGUGAGUGAAGAAGGCCUUUGGGUUGUAAAGCUCUUUCGUCGGGGAAGAAAAUGACUGUACCCGAAUAAGAAGGUCCGGCUAACUUCGUGCCAGCAGCCGCGGUAAUACGAAGGGACCUAGCGUAGUUCGGAAUUACUGGGCUUAAAGAGUUCGUAGGUGGUUGAAAAAGUUGGUGGUGAAAUCCCAGAGCUUAACUCUGGAACUGCCAUCAAAACUUUUUAGCUAGAGUAUGAUAGAGGAAAGCAGAAUUUCUAGUGUAGAGGUGAAAUUCGUAGAUAUUAGAAAGAAUACCAACUGCGAAGGCAACUUUCUGGAUCAUUACUGACACUGAGGAACGAAAGCAUGGGCAGCGAAGAGGAUUAGAUACCCUCGUAGUCCAUGCCGUAAACGAUGUGUGUUAGACGUUGGAAAUUUAUUUUCAGUGUCGCAGGGAAACCGAUAAACACACCGCCUGGGGAGUACGACCGCAAGGUUAAAACUCAAAUGAAUUGACGGGGACCCGCACAAGUAGUGGAGCAUGUGGUUUAAUUCGAAGAUACGCGCAGAACCUUACCAACACUUGACAU